CCAGGAUGGCAACCAUUGGUGAUGGUGUGGGGGAAGAUGAGGAAGACAAUAACUAACACUUAAGGUUGUUUUGCAAAGAUUGGUCCUCUGUCUGAAGAGCCUUCUUGCAUAUGUGAAGAUCUUUGAGACAUUAAAGAGAAGUACAACAAGACUUGGAGUGGAUGAAAUGGAGUGCUAUGCAAAACGAUGCUGAAACAUAGCUGCUGUACACCAGAAAGCAUGUAAUUCUUCCCAGAAAAGGAUUCACUAAAUGAUCCUUCAGUUACACAAGUGACAAGAAAUGUUCCACCGGGAUUAGACGAGUACAAUCCUUUCUCAGAUUCCAGAACACCUCCACCAGGAAAUGUGAAAAUACCUAAUGCACCUGCACCCAGUACACAACCAGCUAUAAUGAAACCAACAGAGGAACCUCCUGCUUACACACAAAUAGCAAAGGAGCAUGCAUUGGCCCAGGCUGAGCUGCUUAAACGCCAAGAAGAAUUAGAAAGAAAAGCAGCAGAACUAGAUCGCAGAGAAAGGGAAAUGCAGAAUCUCAAUCGACAGGGUGGCAGGAAAAAUAAUUGGCCUCCUCUGCCUGGGAAUUUUCCAGUGGGUCCUUGUUUCUACCAGGAUUUUUCUGUAGACAUUCCUGUAGAAUUCCAGAAGACAGUAAAGAUUAUGUACUACUUGUGGAUGUUCCAUGCAGUGACACUGUUUCUAAAUAUCUUUGGAUGUUUGGCCUGGUUUUGUGUUGAACCUGCACGAGGGGUUGAUUUUGGAUUGAGUAUCCUCUGGUUCUUGCUUUUUACUCCUUGUUCAUUUGUCUGCUGGUACAGACCACUUUAUGGAGCCUUCAGGAGUGACAGUUCUUUCAGAUUCUUUGUGUUCUUCUUUGUGUAUAUCUGUCAAUUUGCUGUACAUGUACUCCAGGCUGCGGGAUUUCAAGGAUGGGGUAACUGUGGAUGGAUUUCAUCUCUGACUGGGCUUAACGAGAGUAUUCCUGUUGGCAUUAUGAUGAUAAUCAUAACAGCACUUUUCACAGCAUCUGCUGUCAUCUCAUUAGUUAUGUUUAAAAAGGUUCAUGGCCUAUACCGUACAACCGGUGCUAGUUUUGAAAAAGCCCAGCAAGAGUUUGCAACUGGUGUGAUGUCGAACAAAACUGUACAAACAGCUGCAGCAAAUGCAGCAUCUACAGCAGCAACUAGUGCAGCUCAAAAUGCUUUCAAGGAAAUCGUGAAAAAUCUCUGAACUUGAGGAAACAGGAAAUUAACCAGAUGUGAUCAAUGAGGUGGCAAUGUAGCAAGUUCCCAAGGAACAGAGAUACACUACUGCAUUAUUUAAAAAGAGGAGGAAGAAAAAAAGGGUCAGACUGUGUGAGGGGAUCAUUCUCCCAUAAAAGCAUGGGGGAAUUUAUGCAGGUCUGCAGGAAGGUGUUCACCGGUAACAGCAGCAGCAGAAUUGAAACAAAGUAGACAGACAGCAAGAAGCAGGUAGGUGUGUGGACACUGGACAAUGAGAAAGGGGAGAGUAUGAGGAGCCCCCGGCCUGAACACCUUUGGUGACGUUAAUCACCAAAAGACCCUUCUAAACAUAAAAUAGGGAAAUAAAAAAACGAUAAUUUCAAAGACUCAGUCAAUGUAAAAAUCCCACAUUGACAGUGUCCAUUUAAAUCAUAAAACUGAACUCAGGCUUACAAAGGCAGAGUGGAGACAGGAGACUUAGGAAACAGGACUGUUGAAGUGGAAGCUGCUAUGCAAAAUGCUACUCAGCAGAUUGCUCAGCCUGCUUGAGUGAUAGGAAGGAGACCCACUAAUUAAUUCCAGACUAGUGGAGCCACAUGCAGAUACAAAUACAUCUGGAACAGCUUCCACCUGACACAAGAGAUUGAAAUGUUUAAAAUGGUGGCCAGGCCAAUUCUCAAAACUGCUUAGACUGUGUUUCCAAAAUACCUUUAAAAAGUCCUUACUCCUAUGUGACUAUCAGAAGAAAAAUGAAUUCCUUCACAGUUCCCUUCUUCAAAACAGACUGACCAAGAGAAUAAACUCUCUUAACUUUCAGUCCUAACAAGCUAAUCCUUUUGUUCAUGAAGGCUACCCCUUAAUUGUGAAUAGGGCAAGUUUUUCUUUAUUUAGAACCAAAUCUGUGUAAGCUCUCUAAUCAUUCAAAACAGAAAUAGGAUGGCAGGAGGGGGACAGAUGCGGAAAUGGUGUUGGGACUACAGGGGUGUGUGUGAGAGAUGGAAGAGAAGGCUAAUAACCAGGAUACUAUGUAUUACUAUGGGAGUGAAAUAUGCACUGCCACUACUAAACGAAACUAAAGUAAAUCAGAGUGCUUGUAACCCUUCAUGUGGGUUCUUUUGACAGAAUGACAGCAAGGCAGGUGCUGCCUGCAUGGCUUUGGCUACUGGUACAAUGUAACUCUCUUCUCUGUCACACUUGUUGGGUGGACUGCAACCCAUUCUUUUAACAAUAAAGGUGUGCAUAAGGCAUAAGCACCCACUCUCUAUCACCUUCUAACACUGUGGUUAGACUCCCUGUUAGUUGAGGGGAAGAAAAUUGGAAGCAAACUAAUGAUAAAAAAAAAAGACCCAACCCCUCUCACGGGUUGCAGAAGUAAUUGGAUGUGUGGACCAGCCUUGCUGUGCUUCAGAAUGGUUCAGUGAGAGUGGUAGCCCUGCUGGUAGAGUCAAGAUUAAACAUCACAUCCAUGAAAACUGAAGCGUUUGCAAGAUUUCAUCAAUACAAAAAAAUGUAUUAAGUGCUAUGUACGACUUGGGCGCUGUAUAAAUAAUAAUUAAA